rnacentral:rRNA from 1 species
UACGUAGGGGGGCAAGCGUUGUCCGGAUUUAUUGGGCGUAAAGAGCGUGUAGGCGGCUUCACAGGUCCGCUGUGAAAACUCGAGGCUCAACCUCGAGCUGUCGGUGGAAACCGUGUGGCUAGAGUCCGGAAGAGGAGAGUGGAAUUCCCGGUGUAGCGGUGAAAUGCGCAGAUAUCGGGAGGAACACCAAUGGCGAAGGCAGCUCGCUGGGACGUUACUGACGCUGAGACGCGAAAGCGUGGGGAGCAAACAGG